rnacentral:tRNA from 1 species
GGGCCCGUAGCUCAGUCUGGUAGAGCACCGGCCUUUUAAGCCGAGGGUCGAAGGUUCGAAUCCUUCCGGGCUCACCA